AUAAGGAAAAACGGAAAAGGUACGUAUAGAAUAUCUAUAUGUUUAAUAGGGAAUGUAGUGAGAGUCUACAACAGCCCAACUUUACUGUGACCGUCGUAUCUCUGUUUUAUAUGUCAUGUACAUAACCACUGGAGGCAUCUGGGAAGGUGAAAAGAGAAUUUCUAAAUUGAGUGUUUUUAUAGAAACUUCGGAAGUCAGGAGACCUGCCUUAAUCUGUGUGCAUGA
rnacentral:ncRNA from 2 species